CCGUGACGAUUCCCUAGAUGACGAGUCUUAUUUCGAGUUAUCGGUGCAGACAACAUCUUUUUUUUUUCUAAGUGCUUGCUAACU
rnacentral:snoRNA from 1 species